ACGAAGGGGGCUAGCGUUGCUCGGAAUCACUGGGCGUAAAGGGUGCGUAGGCGGACAUUUAAGUCAGGGGUGAAAUCCUGAGGCUCAACCUCAGAAUUGCCUUUGAUACUGGGUGUCUCGAGACCGGUAGAGGUGAGUGGAACUGCGAGUGUAGAGGUGAAAUUCGUAGAUAUUCGCAAGAACACCAGUGGCGAAGGCGGCUCACUGGACCGGUUCUGACGCUGAGGCACGAAAGCGUGGGGAGCAAACAGG
rnacentral:rRNA from 1 species